CGAUGUCUGCGUUCGAUUGAAGCCCAUAAGUUAACCAGUGGGCUGCUCCCCGUUUGCCAUCCUCCCAACGCCCCCUUCGGGAGGUGACCUAGAGAACCACUCGUACUUUGACCGACCGUGUUUUUUAAAUUACCUUCCCUCGCCCGUGGCGUCCUGCUGGCAGUCGGAACCUUGCUCCUCGCCCGCCACUACGGAUGACCGUUUUCGAUGUCGGUGAGCGAGGAGAACGUCCGAGGCAGUUUUGCCAAAAGAUCAGAUGCUUCUGAGCAACAAUCAUUCCACGGCUGUGCCCGUUUGCACAUCGGCCGGCAACUGGACAUCCAAGUCUGAGUGUGGUCACUAACCCCAGGAUCUGCGCAGCAACCCCUCGUCACGGCGAGCGUCGUCUCUACGAGCUUCGCAUCGAGCGUCCUAAACGCUCAAAAGGCCUGUGCUGUGCACUUUGUGCAUUUUUUCUAGAUGGUCUAGCUGGCGAGGGUGGCGCAUGCCUUAGAGAAGUUAUCUGUUUGUUCAGUUGCACUAGCUAGCACUCACUAGGGUUGUAUAGCUACAUUAAAAAAUUGCUUAGCUGUAAGCCCGAGGUUUCGUGGGCAUGGCUUGCGGCCACACGGGUCUUCUCCGUGCCGGAAUCGAAGAGGACGGGCCACGUGUUGCGGGGUGGCGGCGUAUAGCUUCAGGUUUUAGCUGACACACAGGGUUAGCUCGCACUGCGCAGGCUACAGCUGAUAGCCGUCCUCUUACGACUGCGUCAGGGACAUGGACCCAUCCGAAUGGCCUUGCGACCCGACCCCACUAUUUCGUGACGGAGAUAGCCCGCGCGCGUCAGUGCUAUCGAGCGAAAUGUGGAAUGACGGAAGCAAACGGCAUUCGGAAAUUACCUCGCCAGCUAUUAGGCACUAACCCGCUCUACGCAGCACCUCGACGCCGGACGUCGCCUGCUGUUUUCGUCGGAGCUGGGCCGAGCAGCAGCUACAGUAAGCGGCCUGU
rnacentral:lncRNA from 1 species